GGGAACGUACCUUUUGGUUCGGAACAACUGAGGGAAACUUCAGCUAAUACCGGAUAAGCCCUUACGGGGAAAGAUUUAUCGCCGAAAGAUCGGCCCGCGUCUGAUUAGCUAGUUGGUGAGGUAAUGGCUCACCAAGGCGACGAUCAGUAGCUGGUCUGAGAGGAUGAUCAGCCACAUUGGGACUGAGACACGGCCCAAACUCCUACGGGAGGCAGCAGUGGGGAAUAUUGGACAAUGGGCGCAAGCCUGAUCCAGCCAUGCCGCGUGAGUGAUGAAGGCCCUAGGGUUGUAAAGCUCUUUUGUGCGGGAAGAUAAUGACGGUACCGCAAGAAUAAGCCCCGGCUAACUUCGUGCCAGCAGCCGCGGUAAUACGAAGGGGGCUAGCGUUGCUCGGAAUCACUGGGCGUAAAGGGUGCGUAGGCGGGUCUUUAAGUCAGGGGUGAAAUCCUGGAGCUCAACUCCAGAACUGCCUUUGACACUGAAGAUCUUGAGUUCGGGAGAGGUGAGUGGAACUGCGAGU
rnacentral:rRNA from 1 species